rnacentral:rRNA from 1 species
CGGCGGACGGGUGAGUAACGCGUGGGUAACCUGCCUCAUACAGGGGGAUAACAGUUAGAAAUGACUGCUAAUACCGCAUAAGACCACAGGAUCGCAUGAUCCGGUGGUAAAAACUCCGGUGGUAUGAGAUGGACCCGCGUCUGAUUAGCUAGUUGGUGGGGUAACGGCCCACCAAGGCGACGAUCAGUAGCCGACCUGAGAGGGUGACCGGCCACAUUGGGACUGAGACACGGCCCAA